UGAGGAAUAUUGGGCAAUGCCCGCAAGGGUGACCCAGCAACGCCGCGUGGAGGAUGAAUGUCGUAAGAUUGUAAACUCCUGUUAGAGGGGAAGAAUAGUACCGGUUGGACCGGUAUAUGACUGUACCCUCAGAGAAAGCCCCGGCUAACUACGUGCCAGCAGCCGCGGUAAUACGUAGGGGGCAAGCGUUGUCCGGAUUUACUGGGUGUAAAGGGCGCGCAGGCGGGAUAAAAAGUCAGUGGUGAAAUCCUACAGCUUAACUGUAGAACUGCCUUUGAUACUUUUAUUCUUGAGUUCGGGAGAGAGAGACGGAAUUCCAGGUGUAGUGGUGAAAUACGUAGAUAUCUGGAAGAACACCAGUUGCGAAGGCGGUCUCUUGGUCCGACACUGACGCUGAGGCACGAAAGCGUGGGGAGCAAACA
rnacentral:rRNA from 1 species